UCUCCAAACCCACCUCUGUCUCUCUCUCUCUCACCGUUAACUCCUCCACCCCCCUUCCCCGCCGUUUUGCCCAUCGAACUCUUAAAACCCAUUGGUCCUUCCCGAAAACCAUGGAGAUGUGAUCGCCGCCCCCUCUUGGCCGGAGAGAUGGGAGGGAUGACGUCGACGAUGGCUGCGAGGUUCGCUUUCUUCCCGCCGGACCCGCCUUCGUACAGGGUAGUGGUGGAGGAUGAAGCGUCGGGACGGCUGUCCAUGACCACCGUGACGCCGCGGGAGGGGGUGGAAGUACGGCGGCUGUGGACCAGGCGCGGGAGCGGGAUCGUCGCGAUGUACGUUACGAACCCCAACGCGAAGCUCACCCUGCUCUACUCCCAUGGCAACGCGGCCGACCUUGGCCAGAUGUACGAGCUCUUCGUCGGGCUCAGCAAUCACCUCCGCGUCAACUUGAUGGGAUAUGACUAUUCAGGUUAUGGGCAAUCAUCUGGAAAGGCUUCAGAGCAAAAUACUUAUGCUGAUAUAGAAGCUGCUUACAAAUGCCUUAAAGAGACUUAUGGAGCCCAUGAAGAAGAUAUUAUUUUAUAUGGCCAAUCAGUUGGUACUGGUCCUACUUUAGAAUUAGCUGCUCGUUUGCCUCGAUUGAGAGCAGUUGUUCUGCAUAGUCCUAUUUUGUCUGGUCUACGUGUAAUGUAUCCUGUGAAGCAUACAUACUGGUUUGACAUAUAUAAGAACAUUGAUAAAAUGCCACUUGUGAAAUGUCCCGUGCUGGUAAUUCAUGGUACAGAAGAUAAUGUCGUUGAUUGUUCACAUGGGAAGCGCCUGUGGGAACUAUGCAAAGAAAAGUAUGAACCUCUUUGGAUUAAGGGAGGCAACCACAAUAAUCUAGAACUCUUUCCAGAUUACAUCAGGCAUUUAAAGAAGUUCAUAUCAGCCAUAGAGAACUUACUUGUAAGAAAAGAUGAAUCUGUUGAGAGAUCAGAUGUCACUGAGGCUCCUCGGACGAGCUCCGACUGUCUAGAGUCUUCAAGAAUGAGCACAGAUCAGACAGACAUGUCUAGAUCAAGCACUGUCAGUGGGGAUAAAUCUAAGCGGAGAACAGAAAGUGGAGGAAAGUCAAGACCUAGUACUGACAGGAGAGAGAAAUCAAGAAAAAGUGUUGAUAGUUCUAAAGACAUGAAGGAUGACAUGGACCAACCAGAAAAACCGAGGAAAAGCUCUGAUCGCUUUGGAGACAUGAUGAGAUCAAUGGGAUUAUGCAAUAUGGACUGUUUGAAAGACACAGCUUCCAAGGCCUAAGCAAUACAAAGGUGAGUUAUUGGUUUUGGGUGGUGUUGCUUUUUUUCGUUUGAUUUAUCGGUUGGACAGUUUGUCUUUGUUGAUGGCAGAUAAAUUUGUUUGUGUCCUUUUUUAACCAAUAAAAAGCAAUCACAUGGAGAAUGAAUGGUGUUCAGCUCUUUUCCCUUCCCUUCUGUUCCCUUCUUCCACCAGAUGGUUAGUUCUAGCGUAUGUGCCAAUGAGUGUCAUGCUGUCCAUAUAAUGGAGUAAUAUGUUACAUCAGACAACCGAUGUUGAAAUUAGUUUUGCUUCCCGUUGUCCGUCCGCGCAUAUCUCUGUAUUUAGGCCCUCUCUUUUUUCUUUUUUUUUUCACGUCAUGCAUGUUAUUUCUUUGAGAAAGAUGGUUGUCGGUAAUGAAGUGGCCAAGUCUUUUUUUUUUUUUUGUGUGUGUUGGCAGAAUUCACCAGGAUGAGGCAGGGUUAUUUGUGAAGUGCACAGAUAAAUGAGGCAGGGUUAUGCUGCCCCUAAAAUUUUGAUACUGCUAGAAAUCAAAUGUGAUGUUUGUCCGAUCAAUAUUUAGGUUGCAAGAAGGAUACUAAAUUUGGGAUUGUUACUUUUACCUUCCUGAAGAAUCAAAUGUGAUGCUUACCUCAUGUGGUCUAUCUAUCCCAAUCACAGCCCUCUUUUUAUCCGAUCAACAUCAUGAGGUGUAAAUUUUCACCUCCAAUUGGUUUGGUGGUAUACAUCAUCCCAUUCGGGUUGUGCUAUUUAUGGUUGGUUGGUAGUGAUGAUUGUACAACCACGGUAUAAAGAGAGAGAAAUUUACCUUCGAUUCUCUCAUUUGAUGUUUUUAUG